GUCACAUUGAGGUCACUGGGGUCAUUUGGGGGUCACUUUGGGGUCAUUUUGGUGUCUUUGAGGUCACUUUGGGGACAUUGGGGUCACAUUGGUGUCACUGGGGUCAUUUUAGGGUCAUUUUGGGGUCACUUCGGGGUCUUUGAGGUCACUUUGGGGACUUUGGGGUCACUUUGAGGUCACUGGGGUCACUUUGGGGGUCAUUUUGGGGUCUUUGGGGUCACUUUGGGGUCACUUUGGGGACAUUGGGGUCACUUUGGGGUCACUGGGGUCAUUUUAGGGUCCCUUUUGGGUCAUUUUGGGGUCUUNNNNNNNNNNNNNACUUUGGAGUCAUUUGGGGGUCUUUGGGGUCACUUUGGGGACAUUGGGGUCACUUUGGGGACAUUGGGGUCACUGGGGUCAUUUUAGGGUCCCUUUGGGGUCCCUUUGGGGUCCCUCACCCUCCUGAUGGACGUCACCGACUCCGUGAUGUGGCGGCGGUUGAUCUCCGUCAGCUCCCUGGGGGGGGGUAAUUAAUUAACAGGGCUUAAUUAAUCAGCGCGGGUGGAGCCAUUAAUUAACGAAUGGGAGUCACUUGGAUAUGGGGGGGAGGGGGUGGCGUGGCUUUGGGGGUCCUGGGGGGGAUUUUAGGGUCC
rnacentral:lncRNA from 1 species